CAAUUUCUCAUUUUAAAAACAGUGAAAGUGAAAUCUUUUCCAAUAUAAUUUUUCCUUAUCUUAUAUUUGUUCAUUUUUACAUCCAUAUGCUAAACAAUAUACACCAGUAAUGCAAAAAAACAGAAAAACAUACCACAAAUGGAGAAAGAAAUGUUAUAUUCAUCUGACAACUCAGCGGGUGUGCUGCUUCCACAUAGCUGCCAGAAAACUGGUUUUGGCUGAGUCAUUCAUGAUCAGCUACCUUGCUUUGGCUCUGACCACUCAUUGGAAUGUUCUUUCCAGUCUAUAUACAAUUUCCUUGGUUAUACUUCACUUAACAUAUUAACAUAUGAUCAGUAACAACAAUUGAAUAAUGUUG
rnacentral:lncRNA from 1 species